rnacentral:lncRNA from 1 species
AAACCAAACUCAAAGACCAUGACCACACUAAUAUCCGCUGGUGUGGUUAUUAUGCAAUGAAAACUACAAAUACAUAUGGACCAAAAGCCUACUAAAACUUGAAGAAAAUAAUAAAUUAAAGAAAUUCCAAGCUUUACCAUAAACAGCUGUAACUUAAAUCUUAAAUCCCUUGGACACACUUUACAGGAGGUGCUUUCUCUAUCACUGGACAUGAACAGGAAGUCAAUGGGAUGAAGCCAGAGCAGAAGAUGACUGAGCAGAAAUUAACAAAGUACAUCAGUCCCAGCAUGUCCUUGAGGAGUACCUGGAACAACUAAUCUCGGGAGUCUGUGCUUCCUCUAGAGUACCAGUCAUGAUAUAUAAGGGAUAGAGAUUAUGAAAAUCUCAAAAGGCUUUGAGACAAAAAAAAAAGACAGGACCGAGAGGAGGAUUUAAAGACUGUGUGGGAGGCGUGGUCAGAGCAACAAUACCCACAUGUGAUGAAGACAGGAUUCUAAGGUUUGGCACUUCUUCAAAUUGGAUUAGUUGGAGGAUGUUUCAAAGGUGGAAAGUUAUGUGUGUUACCCUUGGCACUGGAUGAUUGCAACAGUAAGGGGCAACUGGGAUAUUUCUCCAGAGCUUCUACAACAACAAAUUGAGAGUUUCACAAGCACCUGGGGCCCAGCAGACGUUGGGAAGCCUAUUCUGGGACUCGCCUCCAUCUAAAUGAUUUGAAAAUUCAGCUCCUGAACACAGCCAGAUUGCUGUCAGCAAUUCGAAUAAGUUUUAACAACACUGGAUCCACCUCAAGGUUAUUUCUUCAAUAUCAUACAGAAAAUAUUGUAAAUGAAGGAAAUAUGAUGCAAGAAUAAUGAGGAAGAGAGGAGAAGGAAAAAAG